CGACGGGUGAGUAACACGUAUGCAAUCCACCUGUAACAGGGGGAUAACCCGGAGAAAUCCGGACUAAUACCCCAUAAUAUGGGCGCUCCGCAUGGAGAGUUCAUUAAAGAGAGCAAUUUUGGUUACAGACGAGCAUGCGCUCCAUUAGCCAGUUGGCGGGGUAACGGCCCACCAAGGCGACGAUGGAUAGGGGUUCUGAGAGGAAGGUCCCCCACAUUGGAACUGAGACACGGUCCAA
rnacentral:rRNA from 1 species